GACGAACGCUGGCGGCGUGCUUAACACAUGCAAGUCGAACGGAAAGGCCCUGCUUUUGUGGGGUGCUCGAGUGGCGAACGGGUGAGUAACACGUGAGUAACCUGCCCUUGACUUUGGGAUAACUUCAGGAAACUGGGGCUAAUACCGGAUAGGAGCUCCUGCUGCAUGGUGGGGGUUGGAAAGUUUCGGCGGUUGGGGAUGGACUCGCGGCUUAUCAGCUUGUUGGUGGGGUAGUGGCUUACCAAGGCUUUGACGGGUAGCCGGCCUGAGAGGGUGACCGGCCACAUUGGGACUGAGAUACGGCCCAGACUCCUACGGGAGGCAGCAGUGGGGAAUAUUGCACAAUGGGCGGAAGCCUGAAGCAGCAACGCCGCGUGCGGGAUGACGGCCUUCGGGUUGUAAACCGCUUUCGCCUGUGACGAAGCGUGAGUGACGGUAAUGGGUAAAGAAGCACCGGCUAACUACGUGCCAGCAGCCGCGGUGAUACGUAGGGUGCGAGCGUUGUCCGGAUUUAUUGGGCGUAAAGGGCUCGUAGGUGGUUGAUCGCGUCGGAAGUGUAAUCUUGGGGCUUAACCCUGAGCGUGCUUUCGAUACGGGUUGACUUGAGGAAGGUAGGGGAGAAUGGAAUUCCUGGUGGAGCGGUGGAAUGCGCAGAUAUCAGGAGGAACACCAGUGGCGAAGGCGGUUCUCUGGGCCUUUCCUGACGCUGAGGAGCGAAAGCGUGGGGAGCGAACAGGCUUAGAUACCCUGGUAGUCCACGCUGUAAACGGUGGGUACUAGGUGUGGGGUCCAUUCCACGGGUUCCGUGCCGUAGCUAACGCUUUAAGUACCCCGCCUGGGGAGUACGGCCGCAAGGCUAAAACUCAAAGGAAUUGACGGGGCCCCGCACAAGCGGCGGAGCAUGCGGAUUAAUUCGAUGCAACGCGUAGAACCUUACCUGGGUUUGACAUGGAUCGGGAGUGCUCAGAGAUGGGUGUGCCUCUUUUGGGGUCGGUUCACAGGUGGUGCAUGGCUGUCGUCAGCUCGUGUCGUGAGAUGUUGGGUUAAGUCCCGCAACGAGCGCAACCCUUGUUCACUGUUGCCAGCACGUUAUGGUGGGGACUCAGUGGAGACCGCCGGGGUCAACUCGGAGGAAGGUGGGGAUGACGUCAAGUCAUCAUGCCCCUUAUGUCCAGGGCUUCACGCAUGCCACAAUGGCUGGUACAGAGAGUGGCGAGCCUGUGAGGGUGAGCGAAUCUCGGAAAGCCGGUCUCAGUUCGGAUUGGGGUCUGCAACUCGACCUCAUGAAGUCGGAGUUGCUAGUAAUCGCAGAUCAGCAACGCUGCGGUGAAUACGUUCCCGGG
rnacentral:rRNA from 1 species